CAAGACAUAUAUAUACACUGUAUUAGAAAUAGAGAUGGAUUCAUACCCAUAGUUUGCAUAUUUCAUGAUAUAUAAAAUAUAUAAGACCAGCAAAAACAACAACAGAAAGAAUCAAGGUGGUCCUCUUGAAGAACGUUUUAUUUGUCGAUUUUCGUGUGAACAAAUUGGACGACAGCGACAUCUCUGAUCAAUACAGUGUCUGUACUCCGCUGGACAGAACCAAUUUUCCAUAUUCAAGCAAUCAUCUCUCG